rnacentral:lncRNA from 1 species
AUUUUAUUUUAUUUUGUUUUUUUGUUUCUUUGUAUUUCUGCUUCUGUGCUUCUCUUCUGUUGGCCCUCGAGUUGCAAGACCAUUGGAUUGCUUUUUGUUCAGCAGUUAAUUCAGUUAUUUCAUUAGUAAAAAUGUUAAAUAAUAUUUGCCAACUGAAGCAUUACAAACGUUAGUUCAAAUACCCAUAACUGACAACAGUUUCAUGGGAAGAAGACGACGACGACGACAAAACUGGGCAACGGACGAAUGCAUUUUUUUUUUGCGAAAUGGCAAAUCGACUUCAGAUUACCCGCAUUUGCACAAACACAUAUGUAAGUAUGAAUUGAUUGCAAAAUAUAAUGAAUGCCCAGGCCUGAGUAGUUAUUCAGAAAGAAUCACCAAGCGAGACCUAAAGCUAUUCGAUUCCAUUACCAUCAUGGAAAAAAAAACCACCCACGGUUCUCAUGAGGUCGCUGAUCUUAUCGGAUACGAUGCGAUCCAAUCCGACUGCUUCCCACAUCCACAUGGCGAAAAACUUUCAUUUGAGUCGCAUAAUCAAACGCUCAUCUGGCUUCCCUCUUCCGGUUGGUGGUGACUGAGCCACCUGAGCCCGCCACAGCCACCGGGGAUGAGGCUGAUCUUCAUGGGGGUUUUCGUAAUGCUGCUGCAGACGACGACGACGACGACGACGACGACCCCGACCAUUGACGAAAUCUCCGGCGUUGCGAAUGGCGAACCAUUACGGUAUCAGGGCUCUGAGUCCACUCCAAUCGUUCAUUGGACCGCUGGUCCGCUCUCGUCUCUCGUUUCUGAUCGCUGGACCGCCACUGGUCACUGGAAUUAGGACAAGUAUGGGAACAUAAUCAGAAAGUCUCAAGCGAGCAGUACUUGUACAUAGACUAUUUGCCACAGUUGACGGCUUAGGUUGCUGCCAGCCAUGCUGCCAAUUAAUAGAAUUAAAACAGAACACAGAGCACACAGCUCUUACUGUACUCCAGUUUUAGUACGGGUUUUUUGUCGUCUUAUUUCCAUUGCUGAAUUGUGUAGUAGUACUCAGGUUUGGGUCGGGUACUCUGUUGUCUGCUGUGACCGAACUAGCCAGCAAAAUUACAGCCAAAACCAACAACAACAAAUUAAAGAAAGAAACAGCGAAAUAUAUAUGUAUGUAUGUAUACAAAAACCAAGCUAUUUUACGUCAACAGUUGCACCGCGAGGUUUCAUCGAAGAGUUAUACGGUAUAACUUAUACCAAAGAAACUCACUCUGCAUUUGUUAUGUUUUUUUUAUCGUGUCAAAGAUUAAUUCAACACUAUUGCUUGUAUUUAUGGAUGUGUUAAAUAAGUUUAUUGAAUACACCAAUUAAGAUGGUCAUAAAAACAAAAAAUGUGUUGCCCGAAACUCAACAAUUAUAAAUGCUCAAAUUUAACCUACAAAACAGGAAGACAAAUGGAAGCGUGUGUUUUUUUUUUGCUCUUGUUACUAAUUAAACUAAAAGUAGUCUUAAGAGAAACAUAUACUCACAAAUCAUUGAAGUGAUAACGAACAUGAAUGUUUCAACAUGCGUAAAGUUUAUACAUAAAU